rnacentral:rRNA from 1 species
UAUUUGAGAGGAGCUGUCCCUAGUACGAGAGGACCGGGAUGGACGAACCUCUAGUGUGCCAGUUGUUCCGCCAGGAGCAUAGCUGGGUAGCUACGUUCGGAAGGGAUAACCGCUGAAAGCAUCUAAGCGGGAAGCCCCCCUCAAGAUUAGAUAUCCCUCUUCGGUGGAAACACCGGAGCUAAAGACCCCUUGUAGACCACAAGGUUGAUAGGCCAGGUGUGUAAGUCCAGCAAUGGACUGAGCUUACUGGUACUAAUGGGUCGUGAGGCUUGAUCAUAA